UGUAGCCAAAUCUGAUUAUGCAGUUAUGUCAUAAAAGAGUUCAUACCAUUUAAAUAUUCUAUUCCUACAAUACAGCUCACGCUAUAAAAAAAUAUAACUAGAAGUAAAAGAUUAGCCAAUUUGGGUUUUCCCAUCAUAUUUACAAAUGAGUUUUUGAAUAUUUAUGUGAUUUUUAAUAUUAAAAAAAAAAUCAUUUUUCCUAGAAGUUUGACAAAAUGUAGCCAAUCGAUAGAUUAACCCGUGAAAAGUGUCAUUUUUUCUAAAGACCUUGGAUAACGGGGGGCUUCCAGAAAUUCUCAAUGGUACAGGUGAGAAUUGUCAUGUAAUUAUAUAGACAUUUUCUUUCUUUCUCUCUAAACAGAUACUAAUCCGAUAAGGAGGGCCAUCCAGAAAUUCUCAAUGGAACAGGUGAGAAUUGUCAUGUAAUUAUAGACAUUUUCUUUCUUUCUCUCUAAACAGAUGCUAAUCCGAGAAGCUAAAACACGAUACCUGGUGACAAAUCAACCACAUGCAGAGGACAAGCCUGUUCACAUCCCCAAUCGAAUGACAGAAAUGGCAUGCUGACAACACGUCUUCAACUUACUAGUGGACGGGCCCCACAACAUGUUACAUAUCUCGUCCCUUUGUUCCCUUACCUAUGGUGUUGGUGUAGCCACACAAAAUAGGAUGGCGCGGCUACGACGGAGGGUUAUGUGGCCUCGCACAUAGGGUGGUAUGGCGACUCCAAAGGAUUGUGCAGCAUCUAAAAAAAGAUGAGGUUUAUUGCCACACAUGCAGCCACGCCAGGGGCUGGGCACCUACUAGGGGUUCUCGUGCUACUCUUUCUCAUCUUCUCCAUUUCCAACACCUCCCACCCCAUCCUGUGGUAGGGAACACAACCAACUCAUGCAUUUCAGCAACAUUGACCGACAUCAUAUACACCGAGCAAGAAUUGGAGACGUGGGACCAGCCAAGAUACCAGUGUAUCAAUUUACAAGUGUUCAUACGCUAAAGGCCUGAUUGAAUACCAUCCAAUAAGUAACCCUUUAACUUUUGGACAGCUGUAUCUCUCUCUCUCUCUCUCAUGAAAAGCCUUUUUUCCUCAUGAAAAGAUUGGACAACUGAAGAAAGUGCACAUUAGCAAACUAUGCAUUUACUUUGAUGAUCAGGACCCUGUAUAUUUGCUAGUGAGACAUUCGCAUUGCAAAAUAGGUUUUUGUGCCAUGGGUAAACAAAGGCUAGCAAGCUAUCCAAACAAGCAUUAUAUUCAUUAAUGUCUUGUGAUUAUUUACCUAGAUGUGAAAAAAGGUAUUUGGAAGAGUGAAAUGAUUAUGGGUGCUUUUGGUUCCUCCAAAUUUCAUGAAAUAUCAUGAAACUCUGACUAAAUUAGACUGAUUAAUCAUAUGAAAUUUCAUGAUAUUUUGUGCCACCCAACACAUGGGCAUUAUUAUAUGAAAUUUUGGGGCAGGCAUGCCACGGCCUUUUUUGAUAACAGUAGAUAAAUUAUUUUUCCAGAACCUGGUGUGGCUGAUCAUCCUCUCAGACCAGCUACUUAUCAUCUCAUUGUUUAUGGAGCAUUUAUUUGAGAACAAAAGAGUUUUGAUAGGGUACAUUGCCCCCUACUACAGUACUAUAUGGUGGACGAUUCAAAGGUGGCAACGGGCCAGGUAACCCUCUAGACCCGGCUUCAGGUCAAGCAAGGAGGUAGCAUCUUGGUCUGACCCAACUUUAUAUGUACUGGCAUGUGUUAUCCUUUGCAAAUAUCAUUUUAAUCAUUGGUUAUGCAACCAUCUAUCUUAAAUAUGGAACAUUGGUUUCACUCUUCUAAUAUGUGUAUUUCUUUGUGCAGGUGGUCCACUUGAUAAACGGAUAUAUUAGGAAAAUUCAAAUGCGAAUUAUUUUGAUAAUCCACUUGAAGGUCUGGUCCCAACUAAAUUAUUUUGAGUGGGGCAUGAACUUGCUAUGCUAGGCCUGUGUUGGAGCUGGGACAGGAUUCGAGCUGAGGGUCUCAAGUACUGUGUCGAGUCUGUGCGUAGCCUAAAAGUUGACUAGUUUCGUGAAGCAACUUCAACCAUGGAGGAAGUGGCGCAAGCCCCACCUGGCUCAGGACAAUCCGGCAAUCUAAGCUGUGGAGCGGCUCCUACCUCUCACCUGCCUGCUGCUCUUGAGCUAGAACAUGCUUCUUGCUCCACUCCACUGCUGCCGAAAUGCAUGCAUCCUUUGAUUUGAACUGCUCAUGUUCUCAUUACUACCAUAUAAAACUAAUUGUCUCGUGAUCAUGCUUCAUUGAUGAUCCUGCCCUUUGAAUCUUGAACUCAAAUAAAUUUGAUCCAUUAAAAAAGUAACUUUUCAAUGUUC